rnacentral:rRNA from 1 species
UAGAGUUUGAUCCUGGCUCAGAUUGAACGCUGGCGGCAUGCCUUACACAUGCAAGUCGAACGGCAGCACGGGGGCAACCCUGGUGGCGAGUGGCGAACGGGUGAGUAAUGCAUCGGAACGUGCCCAGUAGUGGGGGAUAACCAGUCGAAAGAUUGGCUAAUACCGCAUACGACCUUCGGGUGAAAGCGGGGGACCGCAAGGCCUCGCGCUAUUGGAGCGGCCGAUGUCUGAUUAGCUAGUUGGUGAGGUAAAGGCUCACCAAGGCGACGAUCAGUAGCUGGUCUGAGAGGACGGCCAGCCACACUGGGACUGAGACACGGCCCAGACUCCUACGGGAGGCAGCAGUGGGGAAUUUUGGACAAUGGGCGCAAGCCUGAUCCAGCCAUGCCGCGUGCGGGAAGAAGGCCUUCGGGUUGUAAACCGCUUUUGGCAGGAGCGAAACGGCGCCCCCUAAUACGGGGCGCUAAUGACG